rnacentral:rRNA from 1 species
CCUACGGGUGGCAGCAGUGAGGAAUAUUGGUCAAUGGACGAGAGUCUGAACCAGCCAAGUAGCGUGAAGGAUGACUGCCCUAUGGGUUGUAAACUUCUUUUAUAAAGGAAUAAAAUGUUCCACGUGUGGGAUUUUGUAUGUACCAUAUGAAUAAGGAUCGGCUAACUCCGUGCCAGCAGCCGCGGUAAUACGGAGGAUCCGAGCGUUAUCCGGAUUUAUUGGGUUUAAAGGGAGCGUAGGUGGAUUGUUAAGUCAGUUGUGAAAGUUUGCGGCUCAACCGUAAAAUUGCAGUUGAAACUGGCAGUCUUGAGUACAGUAGAGGUGGGCGGAAUUCGUGGUGUAGCGGUGAAAUGCUUAGAUAUCACGAAGAACUCCGAUUGCGAAGGCAGUUCACUGGACUGCAACUGACACUGAGGCUCGAAAGUGUGGGUAUCAAACAGGAUUAGAUACCCCAGUAGUC